rnacentral:rRNA from 1 species
AGUGAACGCUGGCGGCGUGCUUAACACAUGCAAGUCGAACGAGAACGGAAUAUAGCUUGCUAUAUUUGUCAGCUAAGUGGCGCACGGGUGAGUAAUGUAUAGAUAACCUGCCCUUAAGAAAGGAAUAACAGUUGGAAACGACUGCUAAUGCCCUAUAUGCCUUUAAUACAUAAGUAUGCAAGGGAAACGCUUUAGUGCUUAAGGAUGGGUCUUUAUGGGUUCAGCUUGUUGGUGAGGUAAUGGCUCACCAAGGCUAUGACGCCUAACUGGUUUGAGAGGAUGAUCAGUCACACUGGAACUGAGACACGGUCCAGACUCCUACGGGAGGCAGCAGUGGGGAAUAUUGCACAAUGGACGAAAGUCUGAUGCAGCAACGCCGCGUGGAGGAUGACACAUUUCGGUGCGUAAACUCCUUUUAUAUAGGAAGAUAAUGACGGUACUAUAUGAAUAAGCACCGGCUAACUCCGUGCCAGCAGCCGCGGUAACAC